GUGUCGGUCUUGAACGAACGGAUCAAAAGAACUAGUUCUUUUUGAUGAACGAAAUGAACUAGUUCUCCCCCCCCUAAAUGACCCGUUCAAUUCAUUCAGUUCUUUUGAUUGGCUGAAGAGGGACUGCUUGCCUGUCUUAUCCUAUCGUCGCGCCUCGUUCUGUGUGUGGGUGGGGCUUAGAGAAGCAGCAGCAGUACUACUGAGCUGACUGAAAGACCGGAAUGACCGAGUUGACUGAAAGAACGGGUCAAAUGAACGAAAGACCUAGUUGACUGAAAGAACGGGUCAAAUGAACGAAAGACCGAGUUGAACGAAAGACCGAGUGAACGAAAGAUCCAGACGGAUGAACGAGUUGAACGAAAGACCGAGUGAACGAAAGACCGAGUUGAACGAAAGAUCCAGACGGAUGAACGAGUUGAACGAAAGACCGAGUGAACGAAAGACCGAGUUGAACGAAAGACCCAGACCGAUGAACGAGUUGAACGAAAGACCGAGUGAACGAAAGAUCCAGACGGAUGAACGAGUUGAACGAGAGACCGAGUGAACGAAAGAUCCAGACGGAUGAACGAGUUGAACGAGAGACCGAGUGAACGAAAGAUCCAGACGGUGAACGAGUUGACUGAAAGACCGAGUUGACUCGCCGCCGCACGAGGCCCGACAGCCGAGCCGGAGCGAGCGGGACAGUCACACACACACAAAGGCACACAGCUGCUGCAGCAGCCAGAGGCAGAGAGACAACUAUUAAUAUGCAUUUGCACUGUCUGUUGACAUUUUGUACUUUUUAUUAUUGUUUUUAAUGCACCUCAAAAUAAUAAAAAACCAUUAAAAACCUUAUAUAUAAGGUGUAUAUAUAUAUAUAUAUUUUGUUACUCCUACUAUAAUUUUAUAUUACAAGUAGUGCAGUGCGAUCGCAGCGUUGGACCGGGGUGGGAAGUGGAGAGUGCAGCGGUCACAGCGUCAGACCGCG